rnacentral:rRNA from 1 species
GACGAACGCUGGCGGCGUGCUUAACACAUGCAAGUCGAACGGAAAGGCCCUGCUUGCAGGGUACUCGAGUGGCGAACGGGUGAGUAACACGUGGGUGAUCUGCCCUGCACUUCGGGAUAAGCCUGGGAAACUGGGUCUAAUACCGGAUAUGACCUUCCAUGUAGUGUGGGGGGUGGAAAGAUUUAUCGGUGUGGGAUGAGCCCGCGGCCUAUCAGCUUGUUGGUGGGGUAAUGGCCUACCAAGGCGUCGACGGGUAGCCGGCCUGAGAGGGUGGACGGCCACAUUGGGACUGAGAUACGGCCCAGACUCCUACGGGAGGCAGCAGUGGGGAAUAUUGCACAAUGGGCGGAAGCCUUAUGCAGCGACGCCGCGUGGGGGAUGACGGCCUUCGGGUUGUAAACCUCUUUCGACAGGGACGAAGCUUCGGUGACGGUACCUGUAGAAGAAGCACCGGCUAACUGCGUG